rnacentral:rRNA from 1 species
UAAGACAGGGGGCUCGAGCGUUAAUCGGAAUCACUGGGCUUAAAGGGUGCGUAGGCGGAUCGGUAAGCGUCCCGUGAAAUCCCCCGGCUCAACCGGGGAACUGCGAGACGUACUGCCGAUCUUGAGGAAGCUAGAGGCGGGUAGAACGAUAGGUGGAGCGGUGGAAUGCGUAGAUAUCUAUCGGAAUGCCGAAAGUGAAGACAGCCCGCUGGGGCUUUCCUGACGCUAAAGCACGAAAGCGUGGGGAGCAAACCGGAUUAGAUACCCGGGUAGUCCACGCCCUAAACGAUGUGCACUAGACCGGAGCGGCUCUGACGCCGUUCUGGUCGUAGAGAAAUUGUUAAGUGCACCGCCUGGGUAGUACGGUCGCAAGGCUA